UACGUAGGGGGCGAGCGUUAUCCGGAUUCACUGGGUGUAAAGGGAGCGUAGACGGCCAUGCAAGCCAGGGGUGAAAGCCCGGGGCCCAACCCCGGGACUGCCCUUGGAACUGCAUGGCUGGAGUGCGGGAGGGGCAGGCGGAAUUCCUGGUGUAGCGGUGAAAUGCGUAGAUAUUAGGAGGAACACCAGUGGCGAAGGCGGUCUGCUGGACAGCAACUGACGCUGAGGCGCGAAAGCGUGGGGAGCAAACAGG
rnacentral:rRNA from 1 species